rnacentral:lncRNA from 1 species
ACAAAGGUUCCUCACUAUUCUUUUUGGAAAAGUUAUCGUCUGAUCUGCAAACUGCAAACACAUGGUUGUCUCUAAUAAAGGAUAUGUAAAGAAUUUCUCAUAGAGUACCCUGGGUAUAAUGUUGACACUGGAGCCAAAGUCGCAGAGUGCUUCUGGGAAGUCCACCAUGCCGAUGGAGAUCGGGAUGACGGGGCGUCCUGGAUCGCAUCUCUUGACCGGCAGACGGUCAGUAGAAAAUUCAUUGGCGGGGUUACUCCAAUUACCUGCAUC